rnacentral:ribozyme from 13 species
UCUUUCUCUUUCUCUUUCUCUUUCUCUUUCUCUUGCUUUCUUCUCUCUCCUCCUAAGGGCCUGCGAUCCUUCUGUACAUGUGAAAUUUGGUACUGAAAGCUUUGAGUCUGAGCAACUAAAAAAAGAUGACAA